ACUGUUAUACUUACCUACGGCGAGUGAAGCGGUAAAAGCUCAAAUUUGAAAUCUGGUACUUUCAGUGCCCGAGUUGUAAUUUGUAGAAUUUGUCUUUGAUUAGGUCCUUGUCUAUGUUCCUUGGAACAGGACGUCAUAGAGGGUGAGAAUCCCGUUUGGCGAGGAUACCUUUUCUCUGUAAGACUUUUUCGAAGAGUCGAGUUGUUUGGGAAUGCAGCUCAAAGUGGGUGGUAAAUUCCAUCUAAAGCUAAAUAUUGGCGAGAGACCGAUAGCGAACAAGUACAGUGAUGGAAAGAUGAAAAGAACUUUGAAAAGAGAGUGAAAAAGUACGUGAAAUUGUUGAAAGGGAAGGGCAUUUGAUCAGACAUGGUGUUUUUUGCAUGCACUCGCCUCUCGUGGGCUUGGGCCUCUCAAAAAUUUCACUGGGCCAACAUCAAUUCUGGCAGCAGGAUAAAUCAUUAAGAAUGUAGCUACUUCGGUAGUGUUAUAGCUUUUUGGAAUACUGUUAGCCGGGAUUGAGGACUGCGCUUCGGCAAGGAUGUUGGCAUAAUGGUUAAAUGCCGCCCGUCUUGAA
rnacentral:rRNA from 1 species